CCUACUCCUCUACACACCUGCCAACCUUCUGGCCAUCGAGUCUUUAUUGCAGUUCAAGCAGGUUGAUUGUGAAUUCUCUCUCAAGGACAUCCGAGCAUCUCCAGCCAACAGGAUGACCCGCGCAGUCUUGUCCAUCCUGGUGAUUUUUGUGUGUCUUGCACAUACGCUGGCCAUCAGACCUAAAUUACUGGAUGACUUCAAGAUGAUGAUUGAAGCUUUGGAUUUGUACUUCAAUUCCUUCAAGGAAGACUUCGAUGUUGAGAUGGCUGCUGACAGCUUAAUAAACGAGCAAAUUCAUAUAUGGGACAAUAUGUUGAAAGUCCUACCAAACAGUGAGCCUGAGUAUGUGGCAGCCAAGAAGCUAUUUGAUGAAUUUAAGGAGUAUAUCCCUGAACUAAAAGCUAAAUGGCUCCCGUCCGCUAAAGACGUUAAGCUCAUUUGGGAGACCUGCAGGAAGGCAAUCAAGGGACUCAAAUUCUUUCAUGAAAACAUGAUGAUCAAAAAUGAAUUAUAAUCACAACUUAUUAACAUUAGCAUUAGUUAAUGCAGUCAUGAGCUUUAUUAUAUAGCAUUAGUAUAGGGGUUUUAGUGAGAGGUUUCUUCAUCGCUGAUGCGUCACACACAGGAUGAUGGAGGCUGGAACCUGUUGGCCCGUGGCAGAAAGUGUCAGUCAGGGUCAGAUAGUUCAGGUUUCUGGCUGCUUUAUUUGUUGUUUUUGUGGUUGUAUCAAGGUUUAACUGAGUGUACAUCUGUACAAAUGUCAUGAUAUUUUGGUUUGUUUUGGUUUUUUGGUCUUUCUUUCCACAAUAUCUGCUGUCUGCCUUUGUAUACAGAUCUUGUAAACCUUCCUUAUUACAUGUUGCAUGGUUACAUUUUUUUUAUAAACAAAUGUUUUUGUCA